CCUACGUGUGGCAGCAGUGAGGAAUAUUGGUCAAUGGGCGGAAGCCUGAACCAGCCAAGUCGCGUGAGGGAUUAAGGCCCUGCGGGUCGUAAACCUCUUUUGCCGGGGAGCAGAGGUCCGGACGUGUCCGGGCCGGGAGAGUACCCGGAGAAAAAGCAUCGGCUAACUCCGUGCCAGCAGCCGAGGUAAUACGGAGGAUGCGAGCGUUAUCCGGAUUUAUUGGGUUUAAAGGGUGCGUAGGCGGGCAUUUAAGCCGGCGGUAAAAUGUCGGGGCUCAACCCCGGCCUGCCGUCGGAACUGGGUGCCUUGUGUGGGCGAGAAGUAUGCGGAAUUCCUAGUGUAGCGGUGAAAUGCGUAGAUAUUAGGAGGAACACCAGUGGCGAAGGCGGCUUACUGGACUGUAACUGACGUUGAGGCUCGAAAGCGUGGGGAGCAAACAGGAUUAGAUACCCUGGUAGUC
rnacentral:rRNA from 1 species